UAACGACUUGCUGCUUUGCUUUGACUGUGUGUUCUUGGCCCUCUCCACAGGGAACUCUAGGAUAUCAAGGGAGCAAAAGGAAGCCAAGAAAACUUGGUCAAAUAAAAGUGCUGGAUUGUGAAGAUGAGUAUUACAAGUCAUUAUCAGUGGUAGAUACUAUCACAGAAGAAGACAACACAUUUCAACCCCUUCCUCUCUUUCAAAGCUGAACUUUUGCUCCCGAACUCAUCAGUGUGAGGCUGAUUUCCAUUGUCUGGAGUAUGAAAAAGGGUCUAUGAGGUUCUUUGGAGAAGG
rnacentral:lncRNA from 1 species